rnacentral:rRNA from 1 species
AUUGAACGCUGGCGGCAUGCCUUACACAUGCAAGUCGAACGGCAGCGGGGACUUCGGUCCGCCGGCGAGUGGCGAACGGGUGAGUAAUGUAUCGGAACGUACCUUUCAGUGGGGGAUAACGUAGCGAAAGUUACGCUAAUACCGCAUAUUCUCUGAGGAGGAAAGCAGGGGACCUUCGGGCCUUGUGCUGAUGGAGCGGCUGAUAUCAGAUUAGCUAGUUGGUGAGGUAAAGGCUCACCAAGGCGACGAUCUGUAGCGGGUCUGAGAGGAUGAUCCGCCACACUGGGACUGAGACACGGCCCAGACUCCUACGGGAGGCAGCAGUGGGGAAUUUUGGACAAUGGGCGCAAGCCUGAUCCAGCCAUGCCGCGUGAGUGAAGAAGGCCUUCGGGUUGUAAAGCUCUUUCGGACGGGAAGAAAUUGGUGGGGCUAAUAUCCCCAUCGGAUGACGGUACCGUAAUAAGAAGCACCGGCUAACUACGUGCCAGCAGCCGCGGUAAGAC